CAAAAGCAAAAGGUCCAAAUUGCAAGAGUCAAAAGAAUAAAAAACAGAAAGCGUAUAAAUGAAAUAGGAAAGUAUAUGCUUUGUAAAAUCCCUAGAUUUGUUGGGAUUUCUCGGCAAUGUCGGCUUUCAAUCUGCAUCGAUUUCUCAAAUUGAGCUGGAUUCAGGCCUUCUCCAACCUUGUUUUGAGCUUUCUUGCACUUCUGCUCGUCUAUUUACCGCAUCUGCAGCUGUAUGUGCAUGUUAUGUUCUCUCUACUUCGACUUGUCAGUGCUCAGAUGACCCAAUCUUCAAUUUUCCUUGAUUUUGCUCUGCAUAUCACCUGAAAAUUGUUUUAACACUUCCAGAUCUGCAUCGUAGCCAUUCAACAGCUUUGAUGUCUAUCCGUCUCCUGCUGAAUCUGAAAAAGGAGUGCUGUGUGAUAAGAAGAUGCCACCAAAACUUAAAGGCAGGUUCUACAAAGAAGUUGUGAGACCGAACUUGUUGUACGGGAUAGAGUGUUGUGCAGUCAAGAGCUCUCACGUUCAAAAGAUGAAAGCUUGAUGAGUCGUAAAAUUAUGCGAUAUUUGAUGCUAAUUCUUUAAGUUUUUGUGACCCUUUAAGCACUUUUGUUGUUACUUUUUGUGUAUUUUUGUUAUUUUGUAGGAAAAGAUGCCCGGAGAGCAUAAAAGAGCAAAAUGGACCAAAAUGGAACAAAAUAGAGCAAAACAAGCCAAGAUAGCUGAAAUGAACUAGAGCACCACCUGCGAAUCGCAGGUACUGCAUGCGAGUCGCAGGUGGUGCAGCAUCUGUUGACAGAGAAUGACCAAAUAAAAUAAGACAAUGAUGCAACACAUGCGACACAUGCGACACCACAUACGACUCGCAUGUGGAACCCGCGAGUCGCAUCCUGUGUCGCAGAUGCUGCACCUCGGAUGAUUUAUGAGAUAUUGGUGCUCUAUCAAGUUUUAUGUGAUUUAGAAGUGAUCGGAAGAAACCAAGUAAAAAGAAAGUCAAAAAGAGGUCAAACUGGACAUUUUUGCAAAACUGUCAAAACUGGACAGUUUUGCAAAAAGGGGACAGAUUUGCAAAAUUGAAACUUUGGGGUUUAUUUUGUCAUUUUUAAACUUGGAAAAAUUAGGUCAGCUACAAAAGAGAGACUUGGGGUAUAUCAUUUUCAUCUUUUGCCAUUUUGCAAGCUUGGAGGUUAGGGUUCAUCUACACCACACUUUGGGGUUGAAGAUUUGAAGAUUUGGUUGAACAUUUCUUAAACAUUUAAUUCAUUUCUUCAAUCUCUUGCUUUGUAUUGUAUAUCUAAGUAUGUAGUGUUUAUUUUCUUCACUUGAAUCUUGUUUAUGGAAAAAUAUUUUAGGAUUAAAGUGUUGGCUGAAA